rnacentral:rRNA from 1 species
GAUGAACGCUGGCGGCGUGCUUAACACAUGCAAGUCGAACGGAAAGGAUCCCUUCGGGGAUUACUCGAGUGGCGAACGGGUGAGUAACACGUGGGUGAUCUGCCCUGCACUUCGGGAUAAGCCUGGGAAACUGGGUCUAAUACCGGAUAGGACCACAUUUUGGAUGGUGUGGUGGAAAGUUUUUUCGGUGUGGGAUGAGCUCGCGGCCUAUCAGCUUGUUGGUGGGGUAAUGGCCUACCAAGGCGUCGACGGGUAGCCGGCCUGAGAGGGUGUACGGCCACAUUGGGACUGAGAUACGGCCCAGACUCCUACGGGAGGCAGCAGUGGGGAAUAUUGCACAAUGGGCGCAAGCCUGAUGCAGCGACGCCGCGUGGGGGAUGACGGCCUUCGGGUUGUAAACUCCUUUCGCUAGGGACGAAGCGUUAUGUGACGGUACCUGGAGAAGAAGCACCGGCUAACUACGUGCCAGCAGCCGCGGUAA